CAAAACUUGUUAAUGUUCAAAUAGAACAACAAAGUUGCUGUGCAGUUUAUUGUUUGUCUAAUUUCGCUGGCUCAUCUUUUUGUAGCCAACCCAAAGCGCGGCAACGAUUUUAGGCUGGCAGUGCCGUCCAUUCCGAGAGAGAGAGACCGUUUCUGUUUUCUGUUUGCCUCACAGGCUGCUGUUAACAGAAAUCAAUUAACGACUUGGUAGUGGUGUGAUGCACAGAAAGCCAAAGCAGAGAAAAAUCUUCCGCACAGAAGCAGCCAAGGUACACUUAACAGACGGUAAGGCCUCUCCGGGCAGUGUACAUUACCUGCCGCUCUCUCUGCUUACCCCCUGCUUCGUAUGCCAUGGCAGCAACGUGCUAAACGCUGACACAACACAGCUGACUCGUCUCUCUCUCGCUCUCGCGCACCAACACAGCUGGAAAUGUACUGGCAGCGGCCAUUGAGAAAACAAAACCAAAUAAACACAAAAAACGAAGCAAAAAGAUAGAAAUUUCGCAACGGUUCGAGAUUUUGCUAUGCUACCGUCUCUUUUUUUAACAAAAAAUAAUAAUAAUAAGCUACCGAUGACGACAUUUCGCCCGUUAACCCGAUUUCUUCGACUGUUCCCAGAGGAAAUGUUUACAGAAAAAUACACUGGCACUCUUACCUCUCUUUUUACUGUUGUUGCGCGCAAGAGAAAGAUGUGUGGCAGUGAGAAAGAGAGCUGCCUCUGCCUCUCCAGGUGCCUGCCUCCGCACUGACUUGACUUUCACAAAAAUAAACUCGAAAACAGCAAAAAAUAUUUAUUUGCGUUUUCUUUUCACUUUGUAUCCGCUUCUGCUGCUGCUGCACUUUCUCCGCAGAGGAGUCUCACACACAAUUUUCACGUGCCCCGGAGGAAAACAGUUUUCUUUUGUACGCUAUUUAUCUGGUCAGUGCCGUUGCUGUUUUGUGGGCCAUUGAGCAAUUUUUAA